UUUAACGGCCGCGGUAUUCUGACCGUGCGAAGGUAGCGUAAUCACUUGUCUUUUAAAUGGAGACCUGUAUGAAUGGCAUAACGAGGGCUUAACUGUCUCCUUUUUCCAGUCAAUGAAAUUGAUCUCCCCGUGCAGAAGCGGGGAUAAAAACAUAAGACGAGAAGACCCUAUGGAGCUUUAGACACCAAGGUGGCUCGUGUUAAGCACCCCUGAACAAAGGACCAAA
rnacentral:rRNA from 1 species